rnacentral:misc_RNA from 1 species
CGGCGCUUCCUCCGCCUCCAAGUCCUGCUCAAGCAAAAAUCUUGCCCUCAGCGAUCCUCGAUUUCUCUCAGUGGAUUCUGAUUCAACGGCCACCCCUCAUGAUAUUUUCUUCUCGCGAGGCCACUUCCUUUGCCCCAAAUCCUUAGACUUGGAGUCUUGAUGUUGGAAAAUGUCGAAGAGUAAAAGGAGGAAUCAAAGGCAGAGGAAAAAACGAAAGUUAAAAGAUGGAAGGGGAAACUCUAUUAUGGAUUGGGCAGGGCUCCCCCGUGAUAUUCUUGUCAUGAUCUUUGAGCAGUUGUCUCUUGUGGAUUGUAUGUCAGUCGAUAAUGUUUGUAAGCUGUGGAGCAAUAUCCUUGCUGAACUUCCAAAUUGGAAGCGGGGUGGAUUUCCAUGGCUUUUGAUGUCAGG